UCCAGGCCCUACGGGGUGCAGCAGGCGUGAAACCUCCGCAAUGUGAGAAAUCGCGACGGGGGGAUCCCAAGUGCCAUUCUUAACGGGAUGGCUUUUCAUUAGUGUAAAGAGCUUUUGGAAUAAGAGCUGGGCAAGACCGGUGCCAGCCGCCGCGGUAACACCGGCAGCUCUAGUGGUAGCAGUUUUUAUUGGGCCUAAAGCGUCCGUAGCCGGUUUAAUAAGUCUCUGGUGAAAUCCUGCAGCUUAACUGUGGGAAUUGCUGGAGAUACUAUUAGACUUGAGAUCGGGAGAGGUUAGAGGUACUCCCAGGGUAGAGGUGAAAUUCUGUAAUCCUGGGAGGACCGCCUGUUGCGAAGGCGUCUGACUGGAACGAUUCUGACGGUGAGGGACGAAAGCUAGGGGCGCGAACCGGAUUAGAUACCCGGGUAGUCCUAGCUGUAAACGAUGCGGACUUGGUGUUGGGGUGGCUUUGAGCUGUCCCAGUGCCGAAGGGAAGCUGUUAAGUCCGCCGCCUGGGAAGUACGGUCGCAAGACUGAAACCUAAAGGAAUUGGCGGGGGAGCACCACAACGCGUGGAGCCUGCGGUUUAAUUGGAGUCAACGCCGG
rnacentral:rRNA from 1 species